rnacentral:snRNA from 1 species
AUGCCUUAAACUAAUGAAUGAGGAAAAUAACAAGCUGGGGUGAUGCAUGGUUUCUCACUACUUAUAUGAGAAGAAUUUUUGAAUGAGUAAAUAUCACCCCUUGAAGGACCCACCUACUUGCCUUAGAUCUCUAGAUGCAGUGAUUUGUCCA